AUAUGGCCAUAUACCCAUAUAGACAUAUAGCCAUAUGGAUAUGCAAUAAAUCAGCCACGUGCAUUCGAGUGAUUCAGCUCGAGAGAGUCGUGCCAAAGAUUUGAGCAAUUUUUUCCCUUUUUUCCCCCGCUCAUGUAAUUAACGCUGACGUCAACUGAAAUUAUUUACAAGAAUCAAUUUUCAAUCGAUUAAGUUUAGUUGCGGGCCCCAACACAACUUCGAGAUCGCCCGGGGCAGCUCGACUGGCCGGACUGACUGCUGUCACGUCGGAAGUUGAUUCAGUCACAGAUUGUCGCUGCACUCGGGAACUUUUGAUUUUUUAAAAAUCAUACAAAUGGUGAAAUUAAAAUUAUCGCCGGUGUCCCCACAUUAUUUCACUGUCGGAUUUGCGUAGCAUUGUUCGGGCACCGAAAACUUGAACAAAACUUCGAGCUAAAAAACCGAAAACGAAAAGCCAAAAGCCAAAAGCCGAUUUUCAACUAGAUACGCUGGAUUGGCAUUGCCCCUAACGGAUUGUGCGGCGACAUAAGCUUUGAUGGAUUUUGACAUAAAUAUGAGUUGGAAUUUCGUGCGAGCGCGGCCAUGUUUGGCAUGCCAAAAGCAGAAAAGCAGGGCUUAUCACUCCACCGACCAUAUAGACCCCAUAUAAGCGAUCUAUGCUCGGAUCUAUACGAUCGAUGGACGGUGUGGAUACGAUUCGAUCGGAUUGAAUUGGAUUGGCAGCCAAACUGACGACGACAGGCCAGAAAAUAAAAACACGGCCGUGUCCAAAAGCCACGACUAUAUGGAUAUGUAUAUGUACGUUUGCUUAUGGGCAUCGAUCGGUCUCAAAUACGAGCGAACACACAAUUUAUGCUAAUCCCGGUGGCCAUAAUUUGUAUUUUGUUGCUCAGUGUAGCCGAUGAAUUUUAGCAAAGUGAGCGCGUGUGGAGCAUGUACAAGCAGCAGCCAGCCGGGUCCAUCCCAUUGCGUUUAAAUGAUUAAUUUACAUAAAUAUUUUUAUGAUUUGCCAACAAAACGGCCGACAACAGAGAGAAUCUGGCCAGCUGCCAGGCUUACACUUAAAUUUAAGGAGUUUUAAUCAUUACUUAUUUCAUUUUUAAGCCAGGCUUAAAACACCUUCUUAAUUGAUACUUCAGAGCAUUUUAUAACCCUGCCUUUACUGUUGGCAUUUUAUGUUUUCUUCUAUUUCCAUACAGUAAACCAGUAAAAUAUUUUCUAAAAAUAAACUGAUAUUUAACAGAUGGAGGA